GACGAACGCUGGCGGCGUGCUUAACACAUGCAAGUCGAACGCGUGGCGAACGGGUGAGUAACACGUGGGUGAUCUGCCUUGCACUUCGGGAUAAGCUUGGGAAACUGGGUCUAAUACCGGAUAGUGCAAGAUGAGCUCGCGGCCUAUCAGCUUGUUGGGGGGGGAAUGGUUACCUAGGCGCGAUCCCUAGCUGGUCUGAGAGGAUGAUCAGCCACACUGGGACUGAGACACGGCCCAGACUCCUACGGGAGGCAGCAGUGGGGAAUAUUGCACAAUGGGCGCAAGCCUGAUGCAGCCAUGCCGCGUGUAUGAAGAAGGCCCUAGGGUUGUAAAGUACUUUCAGUCGGGAGGCGUUACCGACAGAAGAAGCACCGGCUAACUCCGUGCCAGCAGCCGCGGUAAUUC
rnacentral:rRNA from 1 species